GGAUUGCAGUCUGCAACUCGAGUGCAUGAAGCUGGAAUCGCUAGUAAUCGCGAAUCAGAAUGUCGCGGUGAAUACGUUCCCGGGUCUUGUACACACCGCCCGUCACACCAUGGGAGCCGACAACGCCCGAAGUCAGUGACCUAACCGAGAGGGAGGAGCUGCCGAAGGCGGGGUUGGUAACUGGGGUGAAGUCGUAACAAGGUAUC
rnacentral:rRNA from 1 species